CUACUGCACUGCCUGCUCCUUCAUUGCAUGUGGGUUUGGCUUCCUUCAUGGAGUGUUCUAAUGGAGUGCAUGUUGCUGAUGAAGAUGUUUUGCUGUGUUUUCUUUUUUUUUUUUUUUGGUUGAUGGUCUCCCUCCUGUAGGUGCCCGGCUUGCUGUGGGGUCUGGAUUAGAGAGAUACACACAUUGUAUGGCAGCCAGACACACUGCAAGGACUGCAAGUGACAGAGGCUGCUCUCUGAUACCAGGUUUCUUCCUGCUGCCUGUUUGCCUAUCAUCAGUC